UUUUUAAGCAUCUAUGUGAAACAGAAUUGAAUUCAUCUAUGAUACUAUGAAAUUUAGAAAAAAAUAUGAAAAUGUCUGAAACAAACAUAAUGUGUGUAGUAACAUAUUAAAAAAGAGUUAUUUCCCAUUGCUAAGGGGGCAUCUCAAAUGUGACAUAUUUUCCUCAUUUUUUUACAUGUAAGCUAUACACAGUACUGCAACAGGCAGACACUUUAUUUGUGAGUUCGAAAAAUGCAUUUUAACAUGCAUAUCCUUCAAUAACUAUUUUAUUUAUUUUCACAAAAUUCAAAACUUUGAGAUGCUCCAAGAAAAACUUUAUGUAAUCAGAAUGAUGAUUAGUAAUUGUAUCAACAUAUAACUAUGUAUUUCAUAUGAUUAUUGUGACCACAUUGUAUGUGGAAUGCAU
rnacentral:lncRNA from 1 species